AAGUUUCGCGUGAUCUUUGAACCGUUGCCGGCGGCAGCGAACGAGCGCGCCUAAGAUCUUAUCCUCCCAAGACUUGACCGCGAAAUUCGGCAAGAAUU
rnacentral:sRNA from 1 species